rnacentral:rRNA from 1 species
ACCUACGGGGGGCAGCAGUGGGGAAUAUUGCGCAAUGGGCGAAAGCCUGACGCAGCGACGCCGCGUGAGGGAUGGAGGUCUUCGGAUCGUAAACCUCUGUCAGCAGGGAAGAGCGGUCACUGUGCUAAUCAGCAGUGAAUUGACGGUACCUGCAAAGGAAGCACCGGCUAACUCCGUGCCAGCAGCCGCGGUAAUACGGAGGGUGCGAGCGUUAAUCGGAAUUACUGGGCGUAAAGCGCUCGUAGGCGGUAUGUCAAGUCAAGGGUGAAAUCCCCGCGCUCAACGUGGGAACUGCCUCUGAAACU